UAGGUUAGAAGUUGAAAAGUAUUAAGUUACGCUGUCCCAACGCGCCAGGCCCUUAAGGGAAGGUGUAAAGAGAUGUGGAGGUGAUAGUCCUACCUAACCUA
rnacentral:ncRNA from 1 species